AAUGGGGAGGCUAGUGACCCCCAUCCAUUCCCAUGGCAUCGUUUGAAGGGCUCUGGAGCCAGCCGCCUGGGUUCGAAUCCUGACUGUCCCCCUCACCAGGCUCUGGGGAGGAAAGGGAGCCCAUGGCAGACCAGACCCCUGGCCGGCCAGGGUCCCCGGGCCUGCGAGGAGGACGUUCGUGGGCGAGUGUGUGGUGGUGGGUGAACUGCGGCAGAACCCGAGAUUGACAGCUGGAACCCUCUCCUCUUGCAGGUCUGGGUGAAAAGCGUGGGACCCUCAGCCCAGAGCCGCACAAGACUUGGAUUUGCUUUGGAAACCACUGUGCUUUUCAACAAGAUCGUUCAAAUGGCCUGGGUGGAGACGGGGAGCUGGAGAGUUGGGGAUGGAAGCCGAUUUUAAGCCUGGAGGAAUCCAAACUGCACACAGUAGUCCAAGGCCCUGCCCCGCCUCCGUCCACCACCACCCUCCCCCCGCCCCCCCGCCAUGAGGUCCAUGACUGUAUCCUCAUUUCACAGAUGAGGAGACAGGCACAGAGCAGCAGCCAUGGCCAUGUGGCCGGUCACGCAGUGGAGGGAGGCCCGGGGGCAGGAGAGGGGCGCCUAAGGCCACACAGCAGGGCUGCGCCGGCGCGCAUGGCUGAGAGGCAGGUUCCAGGAGUUUCUGGGAGUUCUUGCUCAACAUCAAGAAACUUCCACCAGGAUCCACGGGGGGAAGUGGAAGCAGCCUUGUGAUAGCAGUUUCAAAGACCUGGGCUCUGGCAAAUAGGAAAAAACAGGCUGAGAAAACAUAGCAGGCAGGCCUGCUUGUGAGGGAACCUGGCAGACAUCCAACCAGCAGUCUGGUGGCCAAUCCGGUACAUCAGACAUGCGCUUAAUCCAUCAUUCGGCGGCGGGCAGGUCACUGGCCACACAGGCUUCAGACCUCCUGGCUUGAGGGAACUUGGGGUUGCCAUCAGGCCCGUAUGAAUCAGAAAUUCUGGGCUUCUCAUCCCCCACCAGGCACCCCCACACUGUCCCUCCUCUGCAUGUUUGCCUCUCCAUUCUCUCUACCUUCACUGUCUCGGUUGCCUAUGGUCACAGUGAUACUCAAUAAACCACCAAAUCCAGUGGCUUAAGAGCAUGUGCUUCCUUCAGCAGGGCAGUUCUGACCUUGGCUGGUCUCACUCAUGUGUCUGCAUCUGUGGUGAGCUGGCAGAUUGGGGUGUAGAUUGGGCUCUCCCACUUGUCCAGGUCCUCAGCUGGGACACCUGGGCUGGCUUGGCUCUGCUCUGUGUGGCCUCUCAUGCUCCAAGAAGCUAGCCCAGGCUUAAGUACACUGAGGUGGCAGUUGCAGCCUGCAAGGCCUCUCGUGGCUUAGGCUCAGGACUGGCACAUCAUCACUUCUGCUGCUCUUCUCCCUGCUAAAGCAAGUAUUGAGGCCACCCAAGAUCCAGAAGGUGGAGAGGAGCAGCAGAGCCUCACUGCAAAGGGCACAAAUGUGCAGAGGCCCUUCUCUGGAUCCACAAAUGCAGCCAGUGUACAGCAAACACCAUCUCCGCCCCUUUCUCUCCACCUGUUGGCAUACUUACUGUUCUUCAAGGCCCACCUGAAGUCUAGCUCUUUGUGAAGUUUUACCUAAACAUUCCACCCUACACCCACCAUAAGCUAAAUGAAUAGCAGGAUACUAUCUGGGGCGCUGGGUCCCAAAAGAAGGUGCCUAAAAGAGAAACAGGAUGUGACUGGUCCUGUGGGCUCCGGCUGGGGAACUCUGCAGCUGGGACAGGAACCCAGAGACACCAGGGCCCUCCCCUGCCCAGGCCUUGGGGGAGCCCCUUCUGAGGACGAGAACCAAGGUCUGAAAUCCCAUGCUGCAGGCAAAGGCAGGGACUUCCACCCAUCCUCCUGCCAUCUACCAAGUAUCCACUGAGGGCCUGCGGGUUGUUCCUGGCUCUGUGCUAGGCACUUUCACGCAUCAUCUCAUCAAACCCUCCCAACAACUUACAAGGUGGUUAUUGCUUUCCUCCCCAUUUUACAGAUGAGGAAACCAGGGAAAUCAAGGGUGUUUGAGUGACUGACCGAAAGUCACACAGCUAGGAAGUAAAGGAGCCAGGAUACAGGCCCAGAGCCCUGGUUUUAUCUGAAACCAAAACCAGAAGUUCCUCUUCCAGCUGCCACCACCUCUCUGAGUAUCAGCCCUGCUAAUGACAAUGGUAACAUCAGCUCCGCAGCAUCGUUCUAAGCACGGCACCAGCUAAUGCAGUACAUCUGUGAGCCGUCGCUUGCUCCUCACAGCAGGACCAUGGGAUUGAUGCCGUCAUUACCAUCCUCCCCACGUUAUAGAUGAGGAUAUUGAAGAGAGGUGACAUCUAAAUGCAACCUGGUAUCCUGGAUUAGAUCCCAGAACAGAAAAAGGACAUUGGUGGAAAAACUGGAGACAUCUGGAUAAAGUCUGGAGUGGAGUUAAUAGCAGUGUACCAAUGUUAAUUUCUUAGUUUUGAUGAAUGCACUAGGUAAUGUCAGAUGCUAACAUUAGGUGACACUGGGCAAACAGUAUACGGGAACUCUUGCUGCAACUCUUUUGUAGAUCUAAAAUUCUCUCAAAAUAAAAUGUUU